UUCCAGAAGUUCUUGCUGGUCCUCCUCCUGGUCCUUAUUAUCUUAGGGACCCUGUGUGAUGCCGACUGUUAUAUGCGACCUCCCAACAAAUAUGGUUGUAUUGAAAACAGAAGGCGGUAUAAGUUUGGUGUAGUAUGGAACACCGAUGAUUGUUACAAAUGUAAAUGUAAGCGGAGAGCGAUGACCUGCUGCAAUGUUGUUUUCACACCCCAAAACUACGAUAAGUUGAACUGUGUUGCCUUGUUUCACAAAAGAACCUGCACUAUCCGUGUGGUGAGGAAGAAAAACCCUGACAUACCCUGCAAAAUCUACAAUGGAGUUGGCUAAGAUCAGUUUAAAGUGCUUCUGUUCUUCAGCCUCUCUCUUUCAAGUUGAACAGACCUUGGAUCACUUACAUUGAGGAAAACGGCCUAUCCAUAGAGCUAUGGGGAUAGGAGGGUUCUCCCACCCCACCUCUUCCCCUGCUCUACUUGUACCCUGCCAUGCUCCCUACACAUGCUCCACCCCUGUCAUCAUGAGCAGCUGCUCUUGCU